rnacentral:misc_RNA from 1 species
GAAAUGCGAUAAGUAAUGUGAAUUGCAGACUUCAGUGAAUCAUCGAAUCUUUGAACGCACCUUGCGCUCCUUGGUAUUCCUUGGAGCAUGCCUGUUUGAGUAUCAUGAAAUCUUCAAAGUAAAUCUUUUGUUAACUCAAUUGGUUUCUACUUUGGUAUUGGAGGUCUUUGCAGCUUCACACCUGCUCCUCUUUGUUCAUUAGCUGGAUCUCAGUGUUAUGCUUGGUUCCACUCGUCGUGAUAAGUUAUCUAUCGCUGAGGACACUGUAAAAGGUGGCCAAGGUAAAUGCAGAUGAACCGCUUCUAAUAGUCCAUUGACUUGGACAAUACUUUUAUGAUCUGAUCUCAAAUCAGGUAGGACUACCCGCUGAAUUUAAGC